UUUGAACUGAAGAGUUUGAUCAUGGCUCAGAUUGAACGCUGGCGGCAGGCCUAACACAUGCAAGUCGAGCGGAAACGAUCCUAGCUUGCUAGGAGGCGUCGAGCGGCGGACGGGUG
rnacentral:rRNA from 1 species